rnacentral:lncRNA from 1 species
UGUGAUAUGAAUGACUGCUACUCGAAACUCAAGGAGCUGGUGCCGAGUAUCCCACAGAACAAGUCAGUCAGCCAAGUGGAAAUUCUGCAGCACGUUAUCGACUACAUCUUCGACCUGCAAAUCGCGCUAGAAGACGAGUCUUCCGCGGCAACCACGCCUGACUUGGUGCUGUCACUAAAGACUGCAGACCUUGCACGCAGUUUCUCCCAAGAAGAUGGACGAUUGUGCCAUUAAACAGGAGGAGUGUGACUUCCAGAAAUGGUGCAGAGAAACACAUGUCUCCACUUCACUCUGGGUUCGAGGAUAAGAGGGACAGAAAGAAGGGGUAGUAUUUGGAGUGUGGGGGGGGGGAUUGACAGCUUCUCUACACUCCUCCAGUCUCUUCUCACCGGACGUGGCGUAAACAAACACCAAAGCAGAAAAAGAUGUGAAUGGAUAUACUCGCUACUUGUUCCUCUCAGUUGUUUUUUUGUAUAUGUGUGUGUACCCCCCCCCCCCUUGUUAUCUUAUCAUUUGAAGGUUUUUCCAACUAGGUCAAAUUGUGUACAUAUCUUAUUUGUGAAAGCAAUGAGGGAGAUAGUUCAGAAGAAUGUGGUGGUGGUGGGCGGGGGGGGGGGGGGGGGGUCCUGUUGUUAGUUGUUAGAAUCACAACUCUAUACUAGAGUUGAUUGUAAAUGUUUGUAGGGAUUGUGUAUUUCUACGGACAAUGUCAAAUAAUUGCUGAGUUUUAUCAACUUUUUAUAAAAGUGUGUUUUGUAUGUACGUUCUUAUGUAAUAAAAUUACUAAAUGUUCUGAACGUUCUGUGAAGUACUGUAGCUUUUUUUUUUCUUGGACAGUAAUAACUUUAGGGGUGCGUCCCAAAUGGCACCUUGUUCCCUUGGCAGUGCACACUUUUAGUCAAGGCCCAAAUCAGUGCCCUAUAUAGGGAAUAGGGUGCCAUUUAGGACAUAUUCUGUAUAUAUAUAUAUAUAUGGUGUAUGGUGGUUGAUUAGCUUGAAAAACUCUUAUGA